rnacentral:tRNA from 1 species
GUGUAGCUCAGUGGUAGAGCACUUAUUUAGCAUGUAUAAGGCCCUAGGUUCAAUCCCUGGUAC